rnacentral:rRNA from 1 species
GACGAACGCUGGCGGCGUGCCUAAUACAUGCAAGUAGAACGCUGAAGGAGGAGCUUGCUUCUCUGGAUGAGUUGCGAACGGGUGAGUAACGCGUAGGUAACCUGCCUGGUAGCGGGGGAUAACUAUUGGAAACGAUAGCUAAUACCGCAUAAUAGUAGAUGUCGCAUGACAUUUGCUUAAAAGGUGCAACUGCAUCACUACCAGAUGGACCUGCGUUGUAUUAGCUAGUUGGUGAGGUAACGGCUCACCAAGGCAACGAUACAUAGCCGACCUGAGAGGGUGAUCGGCCACACUGGGACUGAGACACGGCCCAGACUCCUACGGGAGGCAGCAGUAGGGAAUCUUCGGCAAUGGACGGAAGUCUGACCGAGCAACGCCGCGUGAGUGAAGAAGGUUUUCGGAUCGUAAAGCUCUGUUGUAAGAGAAGAACGAGUGUGAGAGUGGAAAGUUCACACUGUGACGGUAUCUUACCAGAAAGAGACGGCUAACUACGUG